CCUACGGGAGGCAGCAGUGGGGGAUAUUGCACAAUGGGGGGAACCCUGAUGCAGCGACGCCGCGUGGGUGAAGAAGCGCCUCGGCGCGUAAAGCCCUGUCAGCAGGGAAGAAACUGACGGUACCUGAAGAAGAAGCCCCGGCUAACUACGUGCCAGCAGCCGCGGUAAUACGUAGGGGGCAAGCGUUAUCCGGAUUUACUGGGUGUAACGGGGGCGCAGACGGCGAUGCAAGCCAGGAGUGAAAGCUCGGGGCCCAACCCCGGGACUGCUCGUGGAACUGCGUGGCUGGAGUGCAGGAGGGGCAGGCGGAAUUCCUGGUGUAGCGGUGAAAUGCGUAGAUAUCAGGAGGAACACCGGUGGCGAAGGCGGCCUGCUGGACUGCAACUGACGUUGAGGCCCGAAAGCGUGGGGAGCAAACAGGAUUAGAUACCCUGGUAGUC
rnacentral:rRNA from 1 species